CCUACGGGAGGCAGCAGUCGGGAAUUUUGCUCAAUGGGCGAAAAGCCUGAAGCAGCAACGCCGCGUGAGGGAUGACGGCCUUCGGGUUGUAAACCUCUUUUCUCAGGGACGAUGAUGACGGUACCUGAGGAAUAAGCCACGGCUAACUACGUGCCAGCAGCCGCGGUAAUACGUAGGUGGCGAGCGUUGUCCGGAUUUACUGGGCGUAAAGAGCGCGCAGGCGGUCGUGCAAGUCGGAUGUGAAAGCCCCCGGCUCAACUGGGGAGGGUCAUUCGAUACUGCUCGACUUGAAGGCGGGAGAGGGAAGCGGAAUUCCCGGUGUAGUGGUGAAAUGCGUAGAUAUCGGGAGGAACACCAGUGGCGAAGGCGGCUUCCUGGCCCGUUCUUGACGCUGAGGCGCGAAAGCUAGGGGAGCAAACGGGAUUAGAUACCCCGGUAGUCCUAGCCGUAAACGAUGGACACUAGGUGUUGGUGGUAUCAACCCCGCCAGUGCCGAAGCUAACGCAUUAAGUGUCCCGCCUGGGGAGUACGGCCGCAAGGCUAAAACUCAAAGGAAUUGACGG
rnacentral:rRNA from 1 species